CUCCUCUUCCUUCUUCUUCUUUUUCAUUUUCUUUAUAUAUGUAGUAGAAAAUUGGAGAUUCCUUGGUUAUUUGCGAUUAUUGUGAAUUGGUUUUGAAGAAACUUAAAGAACAUCGUUGAUGAGUUCUAUUGAGCUUGUCUGUAGAAUAAAACAAAAUGAGUCUAUUAAUUUUUGAAGGUUCGAAUUGAAUAUAAUGAUUGAAAUUUUUGGGAUUGAUAUCAGGAGGCUGGAAAAAUCAAAUUUGGAAUUGAUCUGGAACAAUUUGGAUCUAUUUUGAAGAAAAAAAGUAUUAUUGAAAUUUUUUGCAACAAGUUAUGGUGAUCGUCAGAACUUCUUGCCCUAUAUCAAAUAAGAAAUCCUAGCUUCCCAUAAUCUGGCGAAACGGUUAUUUUUGCACCAUCUUUUUUACCGGAGCAAAAUUUAAAUGAUGGCACCCGGAAUCUUUAUCUGUGCAAAUCAUCCCAUGUUAUUUGGGAUACGAGUCAGGCUAGAUGAUAUGCAUGUCCAAAUAAAGCAAUAGUUUUUAUCAUGAUGGAAAGUGGCAGCUACUAAUUAUUGUCCUCUUUCAAGUGAAUUAUUAACAUGAUACUUUUAUAUACUCCAUUAUAACCAAUAAAAAGUUGUGACAUAUAUAUUCCAGUUGUGACCCUUUCUCCCACUUGACACCCUCAACUGACAGACAAGAAUUUGUUUGAAGCUGCUGGGGAAAAUGACAGAAAGGUGAAAAAGAAGUGUUAAGAGUAGAACUCAAAGAGAACAGAAGAAGAAAAUACCACUGAUGCACAUAGAAAUAUGACAUUCAAUGGGGUAUUGGUGGUGUCAGUGGCAAAAAUAUCAGCAGAAAUUUGGCAGAUGCUGGCAUGUCUGCCCGAAACAAUAAGCA